rnacentral:rRNA from 1 species
AUUGAACGCUGGCGGCAUGCCUUACACAUGCAAGUCGAACGGUAACAGGUUAAGCUGACGAGUGGCGAACGGGUGAGUAAUGUAUCGGAACGUGCCCAGUCGUGGGGGAUAACGUAGCGAAAGCUACGCUAAUACCGCAUACGAUCUACGGAUGAAAGCGGGGGAUCGCAAGACCUCGCGCGAUUGGAGCGGCCGAUAUCAGAUUAGGUUGUUGGUGAGGUAAAAGCUCACCAAGCCUGCGAUCUGUAGCUGGUCUGAGAGGACGACCAGCCACACUGGAACUGAGACACGGUCCAGACUCCUACGGGAGGCAGCAGUGGGGAAUUUGGACAAUGGGGGCAACCCUGAUCCAGCCAUGCCGCGUGCGGGAAGAAGGCCUUCGGGUUGUAAACCGCUUUUGUCAGGGAAGAAACGCUCUGAGCUAAUACCUCGGGGUAAUGACGGUACCUGAAGAAUAAGCACCGGCUAACUACGUGCCAGCCGCCGCAGUAA